rnacentral:rRNA from 1 species
GACAGAGGGUGCAAACGUUGUUCGGAUUUACUGGGCGUAAAGCGCGUGUAGGCGGCUUUGCAAGUCGGAUGUGAAAUCCCACGGCUCAACCGUGGAAGUGCAUCCGAAACUGCAUCGCUCGAGUCUCGGAGAGGAAGGUGGAAUGCUUGGUGUAGAGGUGAAAUUCGUAGAUAUCAAGCAGAACACCUGCGGCGAAGGCGGCCUUCUGGACGAUGACUGACGCUGAGACGCGAAAGCGUGGGGAGCAAACAGG